AACGAACGCUGGCGGCAGGCUUAACACAUGCAAGUCGAGCGCCCCGCAAGGGGAGCGGCAGACGGGUGAGUAACGCGUGGGAAGCUACCCAUCUCUACGGAAUAACGCAUGGAAACGUGUGAUAAUACGGUAUACGGCCUUCGGAAGAAAGAUUUAUCGGAGAUGGAUGAGCCCGCGUUGGAUUAGCUAGUUGGUGGGGUAAAGGCAUACCAAGGCGACGAUCCAUAGCUGGUCUGAGAGGAUGAUCCGCCACACUGGGACUGAGACACGGCCAAGACUCCUACGGGAGGCAGCAGUGGGGAAUAUUGGACAAUGGGCGCAAGCCUGAUCCAGCCAUGCCGCGUGAGUGAUGAAGGCCCUAGGGUUGUAAAGCUCUUUCACCGGUGGAGAUAAUGACGGUAACCGGAGAAGAAGCCCCGGAUAACUUCGUGCCAGCCGCCGCAGUAAUAC
rnacentral:rRNA from 1 species